rnacentral:rRNA from 1 species
CCUACGGGUGGCAGCAGUGAGGAAUAUUGGACAAUGGAGGAGAGUCUGAACCAGCCAAGCAGCGUGAAGGAUGACUGCCCUAGGGGUUGUAAACUUCUUUUAUAUGGGAAUAAAAUGUUCCACGUGUGGGAUUUUGUACGUACCAUAUGAAUAAGGAAGGGCCAACUCAGGGCAAGCAGCCGCGGUAAUACGGAGGUUCCGAGCGUUAUCCGGAUUUAUUGGGGUGAAAGGGAGCGUAGAUGGAUUUUUAAGUCAGUCGUGAAAGUUGGCGGCUCAACCGUAAGAUUGCAGUUGAGACUGGCAUGCUUGAGUGCAGUAGAGGUAGGCGGAAUUCGUAGUGUAGCGGUGAAAUGCUUAGAUAUCACGAGGAACUCCGGUGGCGAAGGCAGUUCACUGGACUGCAACUGACGCUGAGGCUCGAAAGCGUGGGGAUCAAACAGGAUUAGAUACCCUUGUAGUC